GACGAACGCUGGCGGCGUGCUUAACACAUGCAAGUCGAACGGAAAGGCCCUGCUUGCAGGGUACUCGCGUGGCGAACGGGUGAGUAACACGUGGGUGAUCUGCCCUGCACUUCGGGAUAAGCCUGGGAAACUGGGUCUAAUACCGGAUAGGAGCCAUUUUUAGUGUGAUGGUUGGAAAGUUUUUUCGGUGUAGGAUGAGCUCGCGGCCUAUCAGCUUGUUGGUGGGGUAAUGGCCUACCAAGGCGGCGACGGGUAGCCGGCCUGAGAGGGUGGACGGCCACAUUGAGACCUAGAUACGGCCCAGACUCCUACGGGAGGCAGCAGUGGGGAAUAUUGCACAAUGGGCGCAAGCCUGAUGCAGCGACGCCGCGUGGGGGAUGACGGCCUUCUGGUUGUAAACUCCUUUCGCUAGGGACGAAGCUUUUUGUGACGGUACCUAGAUAAGAAGCACCGGCUAACUACGUG
rnacentral:rRNA from 1 species